rnacentral:rRNA from 1 species
GCGGCGAACGGGUGAGUAACACGUGGGUGAUCUGCCCUGCACUCUGGGAUAAGCUUGGGAAACUGGGUCUAAUACCGGAUAUGACUGCAUCAUGCAUGUGGUGUGGUGGAAAGAUUUAUCGGUGCAGGAUGGGCCCGCGGCCUAUCAGCUUGUUGGUGGGGUAAUGGCCUACCAAGGCGACGACGGGUAGCCGACCUGAGAGGGUGACCGGCCACACUGGGACUGAGACACGGCCCAGACUCCUACGGGAGGCAGCAGUGGGGAAUAUUGCACAAUGGGCGGAAGCCUGAUGCAGCGACGCCGCGUGAGGGAUGAAGGCCUUCGGGUUGUAAACCUCUUUCAGCAGGGACGAAGCGUGAGUGACGGUACCUGCAGAAGAAGCACCGGCUAACUACGUGCCAGCAGCCGCGGUAAUACGUAGGGUGCGAGCGUUGUCCGGAAUUACUGGGCGUAAAGAGUUCGUAGGCGGUUUGUCGCGUCGUUUGUGAAAACCCGGGGCUCAACUUCGGGCUUGCAGGCGAUACGGGCAGACUUGAGUGUUUCAGGGGAGACUGGAAUUCCUGGUGUAGCGGUGAAAUGCGCAGAUAUCAGGAGGAACACCGGUGGCGAAGGCGGGUCUCUGGGAAACAACUGACGCUGAGGAACGAAAGCGUGGGUAGCAAACAGGAUUAGAUACCCUGGUAGUCCACGCCGUAAACGGUGGGCGCUAGGUGUGGG